AACUGGUUCAUGUGAUGAGCAUGAUUAAAAGGGAACCGGGUGAGAAUCCCGGACAGUCCCGCUGCUGUGUGCAGUCCUUUGAGGGAGCGAACAAACGUGUCACUGACAGUUUUUUCGGGAAGACCGUUCGCCAUCCGACUGCGAGCCAGAAGACCUGCCGUUGCG
rnacentral:ncRNA from 1 species